UAAAAUGAUGCAGACUAGAGUCUUUGAUAUAUUUGACAAUAAUUAUUACUGAAA
rnacentral:snoRNA from 1 species